rnacentral:rRNA from 1 species
UACAGAGGGGGCAAGCGUUAUUCGGAAUUAUUGGGCGUAAAGCGCACGUAGGCGGAUUUGUAAGUCAGGGGUGAAAUCCCGGGGCUCAACCUCGGAACUGCCUUUGAUACUGCAAAUCUCGAGUCCGGAAGAGGUGAGUGGAAUUCCUAGUGUAGAGGUGAAAUUCGUAGAUAUUAGGAAGAACACCAGUGGCGAAGGCGGCUCACUGGUCCGGUACUGACGCUGAGGUGCGAAAGCGUGGGGAGCAAACAGG